rnacentral:rRNA from 1 species
AUUGAACGCUGGCGGCAGGCCUAACACAUGCAAGUCGAGCGGAUGAAGGGAGCUUGCUCCUGGAUUCAGCGGCGGACGGGUGAGUAAUGCCUAGGAAUCUGCCUGGUAGUGGGGGAUAACGUCCGGAAACGGGCGCUAAUACCGCAUACGUCCUGAGGGAGAAAGUGGGGGAUCUUCGGACCUCACGCUAUCAGAUGAGCCUAGGUCGGAUUAGCUAGUUGGUGGGGUAAAGGCCUACCAAGGCGACGAUCCGUAACUGGUCUGAGAGGAUGAUCAGUCACACUGGAACUGAGACACGGUCCAGACUCCUACGGGAGGCAGCAGUGGGGAAUAUUGGACAAUGGGCGAAAGCCUGUUCCAGCCAUGCCGCGUGUGUGAAGAAGGUCUUCGGAUUGUAAAGCACUUUAAGUUGGGAGGAAGGGCAGUAAGUUAAUACCUUGCUGUUUUGACGUUACCAACAGAAUAAGCACCGGCUAACUUCGUG